rnacentral:rRNA from 1 species
GGCAGCAGAAUCCUGUGCUAAGGUAGCAUAAUAAUUUGCCUUUUAAUUUUUGGCUAGUAUGAAAGGUAUCACAUAUUGACUUCUUUAUUAAAUUAAUCAUUUUAACUUAACUUUUUAGUAAAAAGGCUAAAAAUCAUUAAGAGGACGACAAGACCCUGACAAACUUUACAUUUUUGUUUUACUGGGGGGGUAAAAAAAUCUAUACUUUUUCAUUCUAAACAACAGAAAAAUUCUAUUUUUUCAAGUUACUGCAGGGAUAACAGCAUAAUUUUUUCCUAAAGUCCUUAUAAAAGAAAAAGUUUGUGACCUCGAUGUUGAAUUAGAUAACUAUAGAGAGAAAAAUCUUUACAAGUAAGUCUGUUCGACUUUUAAUUUUCUACAUGAUUUGAGUUCAGACCGGCGUAAGCCAGGUCGGUUUCUAUCCCUUUUUAUAAAUUUUUAGUACGAAAGGACCAAAAUUUAUUUUUUAUUUC